GACGAACGCUGGCGGCGUGCCUAAUACAUGCAAGUAGAACGCUGAAGGAGGAGCUUGCUUCUCUGGAUGAGUUGCGAACGGGUGAGUAACGCGUAGGUAACCUGCCUGGUAGCGGGGGAUAACUAUUGGAAACGAUAGCUAAUACCGCAUAAGAGUAGAUGUUGCAUGACAUUUGCUUAAAAGGUGCAAUUGCAUCACUACCAGAUGGACCUGCGUUGUAUUAGCUAGUUGGUGAGGUAACGGCUCACCAAGGCAACGAUACAUAGCCGACCUGAGAGGGUGAGUGGCCACACUGGGACUGAGACACGGCCCAGACGCCUACGGGAGGCAGCAGUAGGGAAUCUUCGGCAAUGGACGGAAGUCUGACCGAGCAACGCCGCGUGAGUGAAGAAGGUUGUCGGAUCGUAAAGCUCGGUUGUAAGAGAAGAACGAGUGUGAGAGUGGAAAGUUCACACUGUGACGGUAUCUGACCAGAAAGGGACGGCUAACUACGUG
rnacentral:rRNA from 1 species